UACCAUGCAGUCGAACGGCAGCACAGAAGAGCUUGCUCUUUGGGUGGCGAGUGGCGGACGGGUGAGUAAUGUCUGGGAAACUGCCCGAUGGAGGGGGAUAACUACUGGAAACGGUAGCUAAUACCGCAUAACGUCGCAAGACCAAAGUGGGGGACCUUCGGGCCUCACACCAUCGGAUGUGCCCAGAUGGGAUUAGCUAGUAGGUGGGGUAAUGGCUCACCUAGGCGACGAUCCCUAGCUGGUCUGAGAGGAUGACCAGCCACACUGGAACUGAGACACGGUCCAGACUCCUACGGGAGGCAGCAGUGGGGAAUAUUGCACAAUGGGCGCAAGCCUGAUGCAGCCAUGCCGCGUGUAUGAAGAAGGCCUUCGGGUUGUAAAGUACUUUCAGCGGGGAGGAAGGCGGUGAGGUUAAUAACCUUGCCGAUUGACGUUACCCGCAGAAGAAGCACCGGCUAACUCCGUGCCAGCAGCCGCGGUAAUACGGAGGGUGCAAGCGUUAAUCGGAAUUACUGGGCGUAAAGCGCACGCAGGCGGUCUGUUAAGUCAGAUGUGAAAUCCCCGGGCUUAACCUGGGAACUGCAUUUGAAACUGGCAGGCUUGAGUCUCGUAGAGGGGGGUAGAAUUCCAGGUGUAGCGGUGAAAUGCGUAGAGAUCUGGAGGAAUACCGGUGGCGAAGGCGGCCCCCUGGACGAAGACUGACGCUCAGGUGCGAAAGCGUGGGGAGCAAACAGGUUAG
rnacentral:rRNA from 1 species